AAUACAAAAAAAUUUACCUUUGCAGGGGUUUUUAUUUCUUUGUAUGCCUUCAAGUUACUGUACAGCGUCCCUUUGCUCAGCCUGAAGCACUCCCUUUCUUGUGGCGCAUUUCUUGUAGAGUAGGUCUACUAACAACUAAUGCCACCAUCUGAGAAUGUCUUAAUUGCUUCAUUUUU